GCAGCAGGGAAGGCCCGCUGCGGACCGAGCCCUGGACGCGCCAGGCGGUGGGGAGAGCAGCUGCGCCGCCGCCGCAGCGGAGCACCAUCGAUUCACCUUGGCUCGCGGGGCCGGCGGGGCCGCCGUCCUUGACCUGCCUGAGUCAACAUGCGUCAUCCCUUGGCGGCCGAAUCCAGCUGGAAAAUCAGGAGCAAUGUUGGAAGAAGACCCAGAUCAAACCUAUGAGAAUGUGCUGGCUGAGAUUCAGUCUUUUGAGCUGCCCAUUGAAGCUACUUUAAGGUUUCCUUCUAUUGUUCUCCCCUGUGGGAUAUGGAAGAGAUUCCUGGACACAGUUUUGCAGCAGGAAGGAAUCCUCCCAGACCUGGCAGGGCUUUGUUCACAUUCUCUUGCACUUACAGACUGUGGCCACUUGGGGUCACUGUACCAAGGUAGACGCUGGAGGAACGCAGCUGUCAAGGCAUUCUCCAAAGAGUGGCUAAAAUGGAAGGCUUAAUUGAUUAGAGCCAAUGAAGACUACCCUGUGUUCUGCAUUUUGAUAAAGUUCAGCAGUUAUGUAGCAAAGGCUCUUAAACUCUUUAAGAAACAUCUCAAUGAUAAUAGCAAAUUCUCAAGAGGUUAAAGAUCAGGAAGUCUGAUAUGGGGUUCCUAGGAAUGAGGAAGGGACUCUCUGUGGAGAUAUACCCUACCUCAGGAGACAUGCUUUUACAACAAUAUAACACGAGAAGUAGUAUUUGCAUGUGGAUUAUUCAUUUAACAAAUAGUAACUGGGCUGGUGGUGAACAAUACAGACAUUGUCCCUGUGCCUGGAAAUGAAGACAGACUCAACGAUUUGUUUGCCACCAUGGUGUGUGUCUCAGAAGAUGAGCAUCGUCUCCAAGGAUGACAAAGAGGCACUUGACUUAGAAGCAAGAUCCGGAGGGCUCACUAAAGUGGAUCCAGAGCCAAGAGUCUAACCUAAAGACAAGGUCCUGGCUCCCUCUCCACAAUAAGAACAACUUUCAGACAGUUUCCACCAAUCAAGCAUUCAGAGAAAAAAUGAAGUUCAGGUUCAGAGAGCUCUGAAACAAAAUUAGCCUAUUUUGUUAAUGAUUAGGGAAAAAGGAACAUUAUUGUGUCUGUUUUUUAUUUUUAUUUUACCAAAGAGGAAGCUAAAUUCUGG
rnacentral:lncRNA from 1 species